rnacentral:rRNA from 2 species
AUGCAUGUCGAACGCGUCCUUGGUCAAUGAAGUUGAGUGCUUUAGCAUUUAACUGAUUUGACAUUAAGACGAGUGGCGAACUGGUGAGUAACACGUGGGUAACUUGCCCCGAAGCGGGGGAUAACAUUUGGAAACAGGUGCUAAUACCGCAUAACAACAAAAACCACAUGGUUUUUGUUUAAAAGAUGGUUUCGGCUAUCACUUUGGGAUGGACCCGCGGCGUAUUAGCUAGUUGGUGAGGUAAUGGCUCACCAAGGCAAUGAUACGUAGCCGACCUGAGAGGGUAAUCGGCCACAUUGGGACUGAGACACGGCCCAAACUCCUACGGGAGGCAGCAGUAGGGAAUCUUCCACAAUGGACGAAAGUCUGAUGGAGCAACGCCGCGUGAGUGAUGAAGGGUUUCGGCUCGUAAAACUCUGUUGUUGGAGAAGAACGGGUGUCAGAGUAACUGUUGACAUCGUGACGGUAUCCAACCAGAAAGCCACGGCUAACUACGUGCCAACAGCCGCGGUAAUACGUAUGUGGCAAGCGUUGUCCGGAUUUAUUGGGCGUAAAGCGAGCGCAGGCGGUUUUUUAGGUCUGAUGUGAAAACCAUCCGCUUAACCGGACAACUGCGUCGGAGAGCACAAGGCUUUAGUGCAGCAGAGACAGGGGGAACACCCUCUGUAGCGGAGGAACUAGCGUAGAUAGGA